rnacentral:ncRNA from 1 species
GCAAAGACGAUGAAGGAAAGAGUAAGCAGACAGAUACGUCGCAGAGAGCCUCGGUUGGUGAGAAGAGGCACGGAAGGGUUUGCCGAACAUGGUUCCGGAGUUGCGUGGCCGACCGCUUAUGCGCAGGUCACGACGGGAGCGCCCGUCAAAGCGCAGGGGUGUGCUGGCACUCUCAAAGGCCGCUUCCGUGAGGGAGUGUGCGAAACAAGGUGGUACCGCGACGUUUUUACGUUCGUCCUUGAU